CUCAGGGCUCGGCCCCCGCGUCCGCGGCCCCGCGGCGCUCAGCGCCUGGGUGUUCGAAACGCUCUGUGUCCUCCAACUCCCGGACAGCGCGGUUCUCCUCCGGGAAAUGAAGCUGAUGGCGGUGAGCCGUCCCUCGGGCAUCACUGCCGGCGCCCCCGCUCCUUUGUAAAACUGCACAGCACCCGGAGAACGAGGAUGGCUUAUUUGUGUUUAAUUCCGGAUGCGCCGAAUGUUUAAUGUCAGAAAACCCGGGUAUUGUUUUUGAAUUGAGUUUCCACUAAGAUCUGAGGAUUUAAGAUCAAAUAGUGCACAAAGCUGCAUUUGGAAACAGAGCUCAUCACAGAGCUCAUCGCAGCUGAGAUCAGCUUGUUGUCCACAUACAAUUUUUCAGUUCAACGGGAGUGUAUCUUUAGGCAUUUCCGGAAAAUUCUGGUUUGAGUAGGUCUUUUUGAGGCAGGGUUUGCUCGUCCAGUGAGUCCAGUCAGCUUCUAAAGUUUAAAUGUGUAAAUCUGGGAAUACUAGCAGGAAUUACAUACAACGAGACGUUUCAACUGGGUAUGGUUGCAAAGAUUAUCUGUAAUGCUUUUAAAUAAAUUUUUGCAAAGUUCGGAAACCUAAAUUCUCAUAAUUUCCCUCCUUCAUCUGAAAUAAACUAUUUGCUGUCAUCCGUUCUGAAUACUUUUAGUUUUGUCAACUGGAAAAGGUGCACAGACAAAAACAAGCUUGUUACUGAAUUAAUAUUCUUGUAUGUGUUUUUUUAAUGUGUAAUAUCCUGUGGUAAACCCUGUAUCAAGGUCUCACAUGUGCUGAGUAUUAAUAGAUGAGUGGAGGUAGCAGAGAAUGCUGGUGAAUGCUGAGAUAUGCAUGGAAUCAAUGUUGAGUAUCUUCAAACUUCAUGUCAGCUAUGGGAUCUAGUAAAGUUUUCAAUUUGUUGACUGCAAGCUCUGAAUUUCAGGGCCAAAGGAAAUUCAGCAGUGCUGUAGUGAUUGAGAAAGUGUUCCUUCGUAUUUACAAGCCCUGACAAUUCUUUUGGGGGACAUGAGAGCAAUCACUGGUUGUUAUUGACAUCCUGCUCUGUCAAUUUAUGAAGUAAGGACAUUUUUGGUGAAAUAGUGUCAGUCUAUUUCUUCCAAGGGAGAGGACUUCCAGAUGAAUUACCUAUAUAUGAAUAUAGGUUUUACUUAUUUUUUAUGUAAUUACUAAUUAUAUUUCAAUUUAUAUAGAAUAGCAAAUUAGUACAUUAUUUUUAUAUCUUUACCCUAUUGUAUUAACAACUAAGGUAAAGGAGAGCUUUUGCAAACCAUGUAUGUUGUUUCUCUCGAACCUGUAUCUCUUUUGUCAGUCAACAGCCCAGCUUCAAACUGCAUCCAGCUGUAAGCUGACAAUAGUUGGGAAACUCUCACCUCCCUGGAGCAAUUGUUCCCUGCACCAAGCAGCAGCAGCAGGACAUCACCCCAGAACCAAAGGCUUCCCUCUUGAACAAGCUGCUCACUGAGGUGAAAGGAGGGCACACACUUGCCUUGCCCCAGCAGGGCAGUGCAUGUUCCUGUGUACCCAGGUGCCAGAAGCCUCUGGGACUGCAGAGUUGGGCUCUUGCUGCUCAGUGGCUCCACUGAUGUGCAACAUCUACAAACCUCUGUCCUGCCAAAAUGAACAGUUUCCAGUUUACAUGGUAAAUUCUUGAGCAGUUUCCAAGGUGCACUACCUUAAUUUAGAGUCAUGAUGGGACUCUUCCUCUGGUCCUCUCUCAUGCUCUUCUUACAUACCUUACAAAGAUCAGCCUAUUGCAAACUACUGCUCUUUGGUAAUAACACCUGCUUGGUGUAACAUUUGAUGGCACAACUGAUGCUGGUUACAAAAAUAGAAACACCAAGUAUGACUUGUUGCAAACAAUUUAUUAGGUAGUAAUAAAUAAGAAUUUAGCAGAAAGGACUAUACAGCAAUAAGGCAUAUUGAUAGUGUAGUUAUAUAGGCAACUGACACACAUUCCUAACAUUUUCCUCUAGUUUUCUAAGAAAGUGCUAUGUAGAGAAAUGUAUUUCUGAUACCAGUGCCAAGUGAUAGCAGGGAUGCAUGAUGAAGGACCUGACUGUUUCAUUAUUUACCUUAAAUAAAGCAUAACAAUCCAUGAAAAUUUACUGUUAUUUAAGCCUGUGAAGUUUAAGUAGAAAAUUACAGUUUGCUAAGAAGAAUACAAAAUACAAGUCUCCUGUUCAUGUUUUUAACAGCUUACUACUUUAAUUUCUUAAACUGCAGUUACUAGUAAGGUAUGAGUAAAGUUACUAUACAACAGCACAGUUCUUCACAUUCACUUUAGCUUUUAUUUGAAAACUUAGAGGCAAGUGCUAAUUUUUAUUUUUUAAAAAAGCUUUUUUUUACAAAAUAUUGCACACUAUUUUUAGCAUGCAGUUUACACGGAAGAAAUAGUCAAGUGCACUUAAAACCCUGAAAUACAACCAGAAACGUCAAAGAUCUGUGUUAUAGAUUCUAUUUUAACAUACAAGGAUAUGUUUCAGACUGCAUAGAAUCCCACCUUACACUUGGGACCCAACUUGUGGAGCCCCAGCCCUGACUCUAAAAAGAGCAGGCAGAAUGCUUACAAACUGUUCUGACUUCCUUGUCAUCUUCAUUCCUGCAUCCUGCACUGCCUUUAGCUGAAGAAACUGAAUUAAUUAGUAAGAAAAUUAAUUUAAGAGAAAUAACUUAGUACCUCCUGUAUAAGCUUUUGUUACUGCAUAUGUGUCGCAAUCCAGGGUAGGAUUUAUAAAACUUUCUGAAGUCCUCUGAGUAAGAUUCAUCUGUAAAUCCCUGUCUCCCUCUCCUCCAUACAUACAUUUUAUAUUGCACAGCAAAAGUAAAAAUCCAUUUUACAAAACAAGCAUGCUAAACAUUCAAUAUGGCUUCUGAAUGAGUAAAAGUAUUUCCCUUUUGGCAUCCUCAUGCAGUAUUUUAGAAUAAAUAUGAAUACAAAGUAUGAGAAAGUUAAGAGUAUAAAUAAAGCAAGCUAAAAUGUUUGUCAGAAACGAAAUAAAAAACAAGUUUAUCAAAAGUAGUUGCUCAAAGGUCUAACUGGUCUUUUAAGCAUAUUUAUCAACAGUAUCGUAAAAAUAGAGGGUGUCUACAAAAUACUGCAACAAAUACCACCUCCUUGA